rnacentral:rRNA from 1 species
AGCUAGAUCUAGUCCUAAUGUAUUCAAAUAUAUACAACCAAUGUAACUAUCCAAACUACCAUUCAAAACAUUGAUUUAUCUUAGUAUAGGUGAUAGAACAGAUAUAUGAGUAGGCACAAUAGAAAGAGUACCGUGAGGGAACGUUGAAAGAUUCCAUCCUGUAAGCAAUAAAAAGCAAAGAUUAAACCUUUUACCUUUUGCAUAAUGAUUUAGCUAGUCAACCCGGACAAAAAGGAUUAAAGCCCGUUUUCCCGAAAUUAAGUGAGCUAUUGUAGAGCAGUUGUCAGAACGAACUCGUCUAUGUAGCAAAAUAGUGAGAUGACUUUACAAUAGAGGUGAAAAGCCUAUCGAACUUAAUGAUAGCUGGUUGUCCAAAAAACGAAUUUUAGUUCAACUUUAAACUUAACUUAAGUACUUAAAAAACCAAAUUUAAGUUUAAAUGAUACUCAAAAGGGGGACAACUCUUUUGACAUGUAGACAAACUUACUUAGAGGGUAAUGACAGAUUUAUAAAGCAUCGUAGGCCUAAGAGCAGCCACCAAUUAAGAAAGCGUUAAAGCUCAAAUUAACCUGUUAUUUAAUACCAGUAAUCCAUCAAAACCCCUAACUCAAUAUUGGACAAUUCUAUUUGUAUUUAGAAGAUAUAAUGCUAAUAUGAGUAACAUGAAUGAAUUCUCCUUGCACAAGCAUAAAUAUGAUCGGAACAACCGCUUACACUUAAUCAAACAAAUAAUUGUACCCACACACUAGCACCUUAUUACCCAUAUUGUUAACCCAACCCAGGUGUGCACAUUAAAGGAAAGAUUAAAAGGAAUAAAAGGAACUCGGCAAAUAAAACCCCGCCUGUUUACCAAAAACAUCACCUCUAGCAUUAACUAGUAUUAGAGGCACUGCCUGCCCGGUGAGUUAAGACUUUAACGGCCGCGGUAUCCUGACCGUGCAAAGGUAGCAUAAUCACUUGUCUUUUAAUUGGAGGCUAGUAUGAAUGGCAUCACGAGGGUUUGACUGUCUCUUAUUCCCAAUCAGUGAAAUUGACCUUCCCGUGCAGAGGCGGGAAUAAUUAUACAAGACGAGAAGACCCUGUGGAGCUUAAGUCUGAUAACUCAACACAUACCUCUACUUAACCUAUUGGAACAAACCGUAUAAGCCACUGAGUUAUAGUCUUUGGUUGGGGUGACCUCGGAGCAUAAAGCAACCUCCGAAUGAUUAUAACCUAGAUUAGCCAAUCUAAGUGUAUUAAUACCAGUAAUUGACCCAUUUUUUGAUCAACGGAACAAGUUACCCCAGGGAUAACAGCGCAAUCCUAUUUGAGAGCCCAUAUCGAAAAUUAGGGUUUACGACCUCGAUGUUGGAUCAGGACAUCCAAAUGGUGCAGCCGCUAUUAAAGGUUCGUUUGUUCAACGAUUAAAGUCCUACGUGAUCUGAGUUCAGACCGGAGAAAUCCAGGUCGGUUUCUAUCUGUAACUUUAUUUCUCCUAGUACGAAAGGACAAGAGAAAUGGGGCCAACAUCCCUAAUAAGCCCUAGAGCAAAUAUAUGAAAACAUCUCAAUAUUUUAACUCAAUACAUACGUAAUUACCCAAGAACAGGGU